rnacentral:rRNA from 1 species
UACGUAGGGUGCAAGCGUUGUCCGGAAUUAUUGGGCGUAAAGAGCUCGUAGGCGGUUUGUCGCGUCUGCUGUGAAAACCUAGGGCUUAACCCUGGGCUUGCAGUGGAUACGGGCAGACUAGAGGUAGGUAGGGGAGAAUGGAAUUCCUGGUGUAGCGGUGAAAUGCGCAGAUAUCAGGAAGAACACCCGUGGCUAAGGCGGCUCUCUAGUACGGUACUGACGCUGAGACGCGAAAGCGUGGGGAGCGAACAGG